rnacentral:rRNA from 1 species
GUGGGGAAUCUUGCGCAAUGGGCGAAAGCCUGACGCAGCCAUGCCGCGUGAAUGAUGAAGGUCUUAGGAUUGUAAAAUUCUUUCACCGGGGACGAUAAUGACGGUACCCGGAGAAGAAGCUCCGGCUAACUUCGUGCCAGCAGCCGCGGUAAUACGAAGGGGGCUAGCGUUGCUCGGAAUUACUGGGCGUAAAGGGCGCGUAGGCGGACAGCUUAGUCAGAGGUGAAAGCCCAGGGCUCAACCUUGGAAUUGCCUUUGAUACUGGCUGUCUUGAGUUUGGGAGAGGUGAGUGGAACUCCGAGUGUAGAGGUGAAGUUCGUAGAUAUUCGGAAGAACACCAGUGGCGAAGGCGACUCACUGGCCCAAUACUGACGCUGAGGCGCGAAAGCGUGGGGAGCAAACAGGAUUAGAAACCCCGGUAGUCC